UAGAUUGCCAAAUGAUACUUCACGCUAUCAUUUUAUUUGUUGACCCUUCUAAUGCACCACUUCUAAUCUACUCUGGACCACCAAACCAGGUCCCAGGAGAGUCAAAAAAAGGAGAGAAAAGAAUUGAGUAGGGGCAGCUGGAGUGAGGACAAAACCAGCUCAAGAGGAGGACCAGGGAGAGGACUCGUAGCUCCUCAGCUCCUGCUUUGCAUCAGGCACAAGGGCUAGUUCUUUUUCUCCAGGAUGGAUUUGAAAAAAACAGAUAACCACUGUCUGAUUCGAGAACUGUAGUCAGUCAUGAGACAAUGACGCUUGGCGCGCUGAAAGCUCUGCAAGAAGUGGUCGGGUGAUUAGUUGGGGUGAAAAUGCUUACACGUGGAACCCGAAUGUGCUUUCAUGGAUGAAGUCUACACCAGCCAUGGAGGGGCCCCUCGCUGUUCUGCCAUCCACCCCGGCUUUUCCCCUCUCUACCAUUACGUGGGGAGCUCCGGUUACUGAGCACUGGUCUGCCAGCUUCCUCUCCCCUCCCCCAAACCGCACGGUCCUCUAAGUAUUUCUGGAGCAAGAGCAACCAGGCAUUUAAUGACGUAAGUCAUGUCUCUUGACUAGAAAGAUUAAUGGGCCAGGCAUGUUAUGUACCCUUGAUAAGAGAGAUUCGGGCUCCACCCUUCAGGGCCUAAACUCCCAACAAAAUCCAGCUGGGGAGUGUCAAUUCAGACAUCUCCAUAAAAGGAUAAAUAAAACCAUGCGAAUGAUACACACCUA